GAGGUCACGAGCGAUCAGGUACCGAUGCGCGUCGCUUUCAGCGACAUCAUCGCCGGGGAUGAUGUCGGCGGCGCCGUUCGGGCCGGCGGGGAUCACG
rnacentral:tRNA from 1 species